AGAUGAUCCUUCUGCCUCAAUCUUCCCAGUAGCUGGAACCACAGAAUGUGGCAGCAAUGAAGUUGUGCUAUUUCCAGAUCCAUGUUUACCCUUUGGGCAUGUUCCUACUCCCGUGUAAGAAAGCCUAGACUAGACUACAAAGUGAUGAGAGUCCAUGUGGAAAGAAAAUCCCGUCCAACAGCCAGCACCAAGGCCCAGAUAUGUGAGUGAGGACAUCUAAGACCCACCAGCCACAGCUGAGCUGCAAGAUGACUGCAACCUCCUGAGUGAUGCCAGCAGAAGAACUGCUCAGCUGAGCCCAGCCCAAACUGCAGAAUCAUGAUGAAAUAAAGGAUUGUGACUUUAA